GUUGUGCACAAACAAUGAAUCAUGGAACACCACAUCUAAAACUAAUGAUGUAAUGUAGGGGAUUAACAUAAGAAUAAAAAAAAGAAGAAGAAAAGCACACUGGUAUAAGAUUGAGAUUUGGGUUUUCUAUGUUAAAAUGACAAGGUUUUCUUGGAUUGUUAGUGUACUCUUUUUUUCUUUCUUAAGAUUGUAUUUAUUUAUUUGACAGAGAGAGACACAGCGAGAGAGGGAACACAAGCAGGGGGAGCGGGAGAGGGAGAAGCAGGCUCCCGGCCAAGCAGAGAGCCCGAUGUGGGGCUCGAUCCCAAGACCCUGGGAUCAUGACCUGAGCCGAAGGCCGACAGACGCUUGACGACUGAGCCACCCAGGCGCUCCUCCGAGAUUUUAUUUUUUAAAUAAUCUCUACACUGAACGUGGGGCUCGAACUCACAACCCUGAGAUCAAGAGUCGUGCUCUCUACCGACUGAGCCAGCCAGGUGCCCCUGGACUGUCAUCUCGAAGAGACACAUGCGUAGACUCAGAUAUGGCCCUGCUACCAAAUACUGGCUGUCUCUGCAGAAGUCUGGACUCAAGGUCAACUGAUAAUGGCUGCAGCCUAUGAAGAAGCGAGGUCCUGAUUCCUUACCUGAGAAAAGGAGCCUAAGACCCCAUCCAGGUUGUACCAGCUCUCAGAGCAUGCCCACAGCCUCUUCUCCUUGUCCUCAGAUAACCUCCUGACAUCAGGGACUCAGUUUUGCCUCAUUCAGAUGUCAGGUCUCCACCCCGAAGUAAACAUGGGAAUCUAUGAGAAAUUAGAUCCCAUCCAGCAAGAGCUGAAUCCGAGUCCUCUGCUCACCCCACGACGGAAAAGAAUAUGCACAGGCCUGCAUCCCUCUUCUCCUUCUCCACCAUGUCGGAAGAAAAGAUUUUACUGGACAGAGACACAGCGAGAGAGGGAACGCAAGCAGAGGGAGUGGGAGAGGGAGAAGCGGGCUUCCCGCCGAGCAGGGAGCCCGAUGCGGGGCUCGAUUAUCGGGACCCUGGCACCCUGGCACCCUGGCACCCUGGGAUCAUGACCUGAGCCGAAGGCAGACGCUUAAUGACUGAGCCACCCAGUCGCCCCCCACUUUCCACCUUGACCGUGCCUAGUCGUCCACCCGUCUAGUCCUCUUGGCCGCGCCUGGUCUUGCCCUCGAAUGUGUUCGUCUGGAGCACAGAGCUAGAUCCAGAGAAUGAGAGAAUGAGAUCGAUGGACCCACGGACGGAAAUCAAGUUUCUCUUUCCCUGAAAUGACCUAGGACACUCCUCUUCUAGUCAGCUCCCAUCCUGCUCCCCCACCCCCAACAACCUCUCAUCGGACCUUCCCCUUUUGCCACCAGAAAGCUUUUCCACUCCUCCGCCUGGCCUGCGUUUGCUUGGCGUCUCUGCCAGACCCAGGCGGUGGUGGCCGACCGCAGACUCUCUUGCCCUCAAGAAAUGAUUCCCGCUCUCAUGUGGGUGAUCUUUUAUCUCCACAGAGGUGGCUCACAAAGCUGCACAACCUUCACUGCAAUUUCCAGAACAUUUCCAUCACCGCCAAAAGAAAUAAACACCUCUACUACCCCUCCCCCCUUCCUGUCCGCGCCUCGCCCCCACCCGCCGUCACCGUCGCCCUCGCCGUCACCGUCGCCCUCGCCCUCACCCGGGCUCUCUUCACUGUUCUCCCCCAACAGGGAGUAGAAAGGGAAGUUAGAGGGAACAUUCUUCCUCCCCUACACCUGCUGAACGCACAUGGACACACACCGCAACCCUCCCCGCCAGGCGCGCGCACCCACCCACCCCCGCCCCGCCAAGCCCCGCCCCGCCCCGCCACGCCACGCCACGCCCCCCAUCCCGGCCUUACGUGUACCUUACGUACCUCUGCACGGACUCGAGAUUUGGCAAUAGCCUUGAUUGCCCUGCAAUGUUUCCAAACCUCGGCGCUCCCCAACCUUCCCCACCCCGACCCCCGCCCCUUCGAAGAAGAACUAACCUAAUUCGGGGAGCUUCCAGGUUGCUUGAACGCCUGAAAUGGUGGGGACAGAGGCGUUCCUGGAGAGGGGUCACGGAACACGGAAGCUCUGCCCCCCUUCCCUUUGCCUCUGUUCCAUCUGGAGUUUCCUCAGUUGUAUCCUUUUAGGACACAGCGGUCAUGUAAGAAAUGAGAAAAAAAAGGACUGAAGGACUGAACCGGGCUAGACUGGUUUAAAAUUCUUCACUAGCGUCCAUGCCGAAUACAUUUCGACGACAGGGGCCUUCGCACGGCUUUUGGUGCACAGAAGACCGAUGCACCGAAGCCUGCCGAUCUCGGGACGUGUCCACGAGGGGAAAGAGUGUCAGCCUAUCGGAAAAGAGAGUCGGUUAACGUAGAUUGCAAAGGCAUUCGUUCAUCCCGAGAGACUUCCUCUCCAUGAUGGCGGGUGGCGCGAGAUGGAAGAGUUGGCUUCCAUGAAAAAGGGGCCCUUUCUUGAAGACCCUGCCCAGCUAUCGGGGUUUUGUUGGUUUGUGUUUUGUCAUCUGUGAUAGGAAGGCAUCUUCUUAGCCAUCGGGAGGGAAACCUCAACAAAUUCAGCCAUUCAGAUCACAAGGGAUUUCUUGGGUUUGGUGGAUCUGAGAUCUGGUCUGCCUCCGACUGCUCCCCGAGAUUGCCUUUAUGCCGAGAAUGGGAUUCCUCAUCAGACACACAGAAGUCCGGCUCCUUGCCACGGAGCUGGCUGCUCUAUGGAUGCCUUUAAAAAGGAAGCCUGCCUUUAAUUCGGACGUCGGAACGUGAUCGGUCGCUUUUUCAUGGGGGGUUGGCCAAUUAAAUUUCCCCCGCCUUGGGCGCCUGGGUGGCUCAGUUGGUUAAGCGGCUGCCUUCGGCUCCGGUCAUGAUCCUGGAGUCCCUGGAUCGAGUCCCGCAUCGGGCUCCCUGCUCAGCAGGGAGUCUGCUUCUCCCUCUGACCCUCCCCCCUCUCAUGUGCUCUCUCUCAUUCAUUCUCUCUCUCUCUCUCUCUCUCUCUCUCUCUGUCUCAAAUAAAUAAACAAACAAACAAACAAACAAAUAAAUAAAUAAAUAAAAUCUUAAAAAAAAAAAAUUCCCCCCGCCUUACAAAGCAGAGACUGGUGAAGGGUCCUCCAAGUGCCCUCUGGAAAUCAAGAGCUUCUGUAUCAAGAGGCUGGAAAACGCAUCUUCCCCUUCUUCCUGGUGAAUCCAAUUCUAGGGGUUGAUUCAAAGGAAAUCAUGUUUUAGAUGCUAAAACGUAAAGCUUACUUUUGCAAAAAUGUGCAUCGCGGCAUAGGGUUUAGGAAUCCCUUGUGGCAGACCGACAACCGUGUGUCCCUCACGUCCCGGCACGUGUGCACCCUCACGUCCUAUGACUUCGAUGCUCCUGCUAUCCAGAGGUAGGCUUGAUUGCUCUGUCCCUUGAUUUUGGACCGGGUCUUGGGACUUGUCUUGACCCAAAGAAUAGAGCAGAAGUGACACUUGGCUGGUUUCACAGCCUACACCUGAAGAGGUGGUCUGCCGGCGUUCUCGACCUUCUUGGCAUGCCGUCCUGAGACCUCCACGUAAGAAAGCCAGUCUAGCUGACUGGAGCAUGAGAGGCAUUGACAACAGAGGCAGCCCGGUGCUCGGCGGCACCGACUGCCAGACGUGUGAAAGUUGACCCUCUGGCCGAAAGCCACUGCUUGAGUGAGCCCGGCGUAAACCCGCAGAACCCAAGGGGCCACCCAGGGCAAGCACCAGGAAGUUAUCGAUAAAGAAAUGCUGUUUCGAGCCAUUGCGGUGUUAGGAUGAUGCACCCUGAGGAUCAGCUAGCUGCGCAGCAGCGAUAGAUACCGUGCACACAGAUACACACCACACAACACACCACACCACACCCCCCCCACACACACACGUGUGCAGAAAACCAAACCAACGAAACAAACCAAAACUCUGUAGAACCCUGCACCAAAUGUUGAGGAAACAACGGCCCACCCUCACAAGAAACACCUGCACGCUACAUGUACAAUGCAUAGGGAGCCUAUACUUGCAAGUGCUUACUUGCAUGGGAAACAUUUCACGAUAACAUGAGUCUCAGAUGGCCCAAGCGGGGUUCUUUUGACAUGUCUGAAUUGUGUACACAAUUAGAGAAAGCCUGCUAGGAGACUGGGUGAUCAGAAACUAGGAAGCUCUUUGGUUCCCUCAGUGAAGCCCCGACUUUUGGGGAGGAACCAACACUCAGGGAGAUGCUCUGGUCUUCAUUUGGUUGGUUGGUUGGUUGGUUGGUUGGUUGGUUGGUUGCUGCAGCUUUUGCUAUCUUUGCAUAAAACCGACCCUGUUUCCAUUGGGAAUGGAAAACAACUGACGGGUGGGAUCUGUACACGGUAAUGCUGCUUCGCAGUUGCAUUUGUUUUACUAAAAGAGGGAGAUUUGAACAUUGGGUCUUUCGUGUCCUCUCCAUUCAUGUCCUCUCCACAAAUAAGACUGAAACAAAGGCUAAAAUUUGUUUGCAUCUUGUUUGUGUCUAUGUGUCCGUAUGUGUUAUACAUGUGAGGUAUUUCCUCCACCUCCGGGUGCUAUUGCUAACAUCCAUUUGUAAAGGAGCUCUAUUUAAUGAGUUCUAUUUUUAUUUUAUUUUAUUUUAUUUUAUUUAUUUUAUUCUUUAAAGAUUUUAUUUAUUUAUUUGACAGAGAGAGACACAGCGAGAGAGGGAACACAAGCAGGCGGAGUGGGAGAGGGAGAAGCAGGCUUCCCGCCGAGCAGGGAGCCCGAUGCAGGGGCUUGAUCCCAGGACCCUCGGAUCAUGACCUGAGCUAAAGGCAGACGCUUAACCACUGAGCCAUCCAGUCAAAAUAAUGAAGAAGAGGAGGAAGACAGGCCGAUGCUAGAAAUCUGAAAUCCACUCCUCCUCCUCCCCAAGUACAGGCACCAGAACCGAUGCCCAACCCACUGGCUUCCGGAGGGCUGAAAAGCCACCACAGACAAAGCCUAUUAAGCAGAAGGAGAUGAAGAAAGGGGCGGAGGCGGAGGCGGAGGCGGAGGCGGAGGCGGAGGCGGAGGCGGAGGCGGAGGCGGAGGCGGAGGCGGAGGCGGAGGCGGAGGCGGAGGCGGAGGCGGAGGCGGAGAAGAAAAAAAAGAAAAGGCCCUGCUACCAAAUACUGGCUGUCUCUGCAGAAGUCUGGACUCAAGGUCAACUGAUAAUGGCUGCAGCCUAUGAAGAAGCGAGGUCCUGAUUCCUUACCUGAGAAAAGGAGCCUAAGACCCCAUCCAGGUUGUACCAGCUCUCAGAGCAUGCCCACAGCCUCUUCUCCUUGUCCUCAGAUAACCUCCUGACAUCAGGGACUCAGUUUUGCCUCAUUCAGAUGUCAGGUCUCCACCCCGAAGUAAACAUGGGAAUCUAUGAGAAAUUAGAUCCCAUCCAGCAAGAGCUGAAUCCGAGUCCUCUGCUCACCCCACGACGGAAAAGAAUAUGCACAGGCCUGCAUCCCUCUUCUCCUUCUCCACCAUGUCGGAAGAAAAGAUUUUACUGGACAGAGACACAGCGAGAGAGGGAACGCAAGCAGAGGGAGUGGGAGAGGGAGAAGCGGGCUUCCCGCCGAGCAGGGAGCCCGAUGCGGGGCUCGAUUAUCGGGACCCUGGCACCCUGGCACCCUGGCACCCUGGGAUCAUGACCUGAGCCGAAGGCAGACGCUUAAUGACUGAGCCACCCAGUCGCCCCCCACUUUCCACCUUGACCGUGCCUAGUCGUCCACCCGUCUAGUCCUCUUGGCCGCGCCUGGUCUUGCCCUCGAAUGUGUUCGUCUGGAGCACAGAGCUAGAUCCAGAGAAUGAGAGAAUGAGAUCGAUGGACCCACGGACGGAAAUCAAGUUUCUCUUUCCCUGAAAUGACCUAGGACACUCCUCUUCUAGUCAGCUCCCAUCCUGCUCCCCCACCCCCAACAACCUCUCAUCGGACCUUCCCCUUUUGCCACCAGAAAGCUUUUCCACUCCUCCGCCUGGCCUGCGUUUGCUUGGCGUCUCUGCCAGACCCAGGCGGUGGUGGCCGACCGCAGACUCUCUUGCCCUCAAGAAAUGAUUCCCGCUCUCAUGUGGGUGAUCUUUUAUCUCCACAGAGGUGGCUCACAAAGCUGCACAACCUUCACUGCAAUUUCCAGAACAUUUCCAUCACCGCCAAAAGAAAUAAACACCUCUACUACCCCUCCCCCCUUCCUGUCCGCGCCUCGCCCCCACCCGCCGUCACCGUCGCCCUCGCCGUCACCGUCGCCCUCGCCCUCACCCGGGCUCUCUUCACUGUUCUCCCCCAACAGGGAGUAGAAAGGGAAGUUAGAGGGAACAUUCUUCCUCCCCUACACCUGCUGAACGCACAUGGACACACACCGCAACCCUCCCCGCCAGGCGCGCGCACCCACCCACCCCCGCCCCGCCAAGCCCCGCCCCGCCACGCCACGCCACGCCACGCCCCCCAUCCCGGCCUUACGUGUACCUUACGUACCUCUGCACGGACUCGAGAUUUGGCAAUAGCCUUGAUUGCCCUGCAAUGUUUCCAAACCUCGGCGCUCCCCAACCUUCCCCACCCCGACCCCCGCCCCUUCGAAGAAGAACUAACCUAAUUCGGGGAGCUUCCAGGUUGCUUGAACGCCUGAAAUGGUGGGGACAGAGGCGUUCCUGGAGAGGGGUCACGGAACACGGAAGCUCUGCCCCCCUUCCCUUUGCCUCUGUUCCAUCUGGAGUUUCCUCAGUUGUAUCCUUUUAGGACACAGCGGUCAUGUAAGAAAUGAGAAAAAAAAGGACUGAAGGACUGAACCGGGCUAGACUGGUUUAAAAUUCUUCACUAGCGUCCAUGCCGAAUACAUUUCGACGACAGGGGCCUUCGCACGGCUUUUGGUGCACAGAAGACCGAUGCACCGAAGCCUGCCGAUCUCGGGACGUGUCCACGAGGGGAAAGAGUGUCAGCCUAUCGGAAAAGAGAGUCGGUUAACGUAGAUUGCAAAGGCAUUCGUUCAUCCCGAGAGACUUCCUCUCCAUGAUGGCGGGUGGCGCGAGAUGGAAGAGUUGGCUUCCAUGAAAAAGGGGCCCUUUCUUGAAGACCCUGCCCAGCUAUCGGGGUUUUGUUGGUUUGUGUUUUGUCAUCUGUGAUAGGAAGGCAUCUUCUUAGCCAUCGGGAGGGAAACCUCAACAAAUUCAGCCAUUCAGAUCACAAGGGAUUUCUUGGGUUUGGUGGAUCUGAGAUCUGGUCUGCCUCCGACUGCUCCCCGAGAUUGCCUUUAUGCCGAGAAUGGGAUUCCUCAUCAGACACACAGAAGUCCGGCUCCUUGCCACGGAGCUGGCUGCUCUAUGGAUGCCUUUAAAAAGGAAGCCUGCCUUUAAUUCGGACGUCGGAACGUGAUCGGUCGCUUUUUCAUGGGGGGUUGGCCAAUUAAAUUUCCCCCGCCUUGGGCGCCUGGGUGGCUCAGUUGGUUAAGCGGCUGCCUUCGGCUCCGGUCAUGAUCCUGGAGUCCCUGGAUCGAGUCCCGCAUCGGGCUCCCUGCUCAGCAGGGAGUCUGCUUCUCCCUCUGACCCUCCCCCCUCUCAUGUGCUCUCUCUCAUUCAUUCUCUCUCUCUCUCUCUCUCUCUCUCUCUCUGUCUCAAAUAAAUAAACAAACAAACAAACAAACAAAUAAAUAAAUAAAUAAAAUCUUAAAAAAAAAAAAUUCCCCCCGCCUUACAAAGCAGAGACUGGUGAAGGGUCCUCCAAGUGCCCUCUGGAAAUCAAGAGCUUCUGUAUCAAGAGGCUGGAAAACGCAUCUUCCCCUUCUUCCUGGUGAAUCCAAUUCUAGGGGUUGAUUCAAAGGAAAUCAUGUUUUAGAUGCUAAAACGUAAAGCUUACUUUUGCAAAAAUGUGCAUCGCGGCAUAGGGUUUAGGAAUCCCUUGUGGCAGACCGACAACCGUGUGUCCCUCACGUCCCGGCACGUGUGCACCCUCACGUCCUAUGACUUCGAUGCUCCUGCUAUCCAGAGGUAGGCUUGAUUGCUCUGUCCCUUGAUUUUGGACCGGGUCUUGGGACUUGUCUUGACCCAAAGAAUAGAGCAGAAGUGACACUUGGCUGGUUUCACAGCCUACACCUGAAGAGGUGGUCUGCCGGCGUUCUCGACCUUCUUGGCAUGCCGUCCUGAGACCUCCACGUAAGAAAGCCAGUCUAGCUGACUGGAGCAUGAGAGGCAUUGACAACAGAGGCAGCCCGGUGCUCGGCGGCACCGACUGCCAGACGUGUGAAAGUUGACCCUCUGGCCGAAAGCCACUGCUUGAGUGAGCCCGGCGUAAACCCGCAGAACCCAAGGGGCCACCCAGGGCAAGCACCAGGAAGUUAUCGAUAAAGAAAUGCUGUUUCGAGCCAUUGCGGUGUUAGGAUGAUGCACCCUGAGGAUCAGCUAGCUGCGCAGCAGCGAUAGAUACCGUGCACACAGAUACACACCACACAACACACCACACCACACCCCCCCCCCACACACACGUGUGCAGAAAACCAAACCAACGAAACAAACCAAAACUCUGUAGAACCCUGCACCAAAUGUUGAGGAAACAACGGCCCACCCUCACAAGAAACACCUGCACGCUACAUGUACAAUGCAUAGGGAGCCUAUACUUGCAAGUGCUUACUUGCAUGGGAAACAUUUCACGAUAACAUGAGUCUCAGAUGGCCCAAGCGGGGUUCUUUUGACAUGUCUGAAUUGUGUACACAAUUAGAGAAAGCCUGCUAGGAGACUGGGUGAUCAGAAACUAGGAAGCUCUUUGGUUCCCUCAGUGAAGCCCCGACUUUUGGGGAGGAACCAACACUCAGGGAGAUGCUCUGGUCUUCAUUUGGUUGGUUGGUUGGUUGGUUGGUUGGUUGGUUGGUUGCUGCAGCUUUUGCUAUCUUUGCAUAAAACCGACCCUGUUUCCAUUGGGAAUGGAAAACAACUGACGGGUGGGAUCUGUACACGGUAAUGCUGCUUCGCAGUUGCAUUUGUUUUACUAAAAGAGGGAGAUUUGAACAUUGGGUCUUUCGUGUCCUCUCCAUUCAUGUCCUCUCCACAAAUAAGACUGAAACAAAGGCUAAAAUUUGUUUGCAUCUUGUUUGUGUCUAUGUGUCCGUAUGUGUUAUACAUGUGAGGUAUUUCCUCCACCUCCGGGUGCUAUUGCUAACAUCCAUUUGUAAAGGAGCUCUAUUUAAUGAGUUCUAUUUUUAUUUUAUUUUAUUUUAUUUUAUUUAUUUUAUUCUUUAAAGAUUUUAUUUAUUUAUUUGACAGAGAGAGACACAGCGAGAGAGGGAACACAAGCAGGCGGAGUGGGAGAGGGAGAAGCAGGCUUCCCGCCGAGCAGGGAGCCCGAUGCAGGGGCUUGAUCCCAGGACCCUCGGAUCAUGACCUGAGCUAAAGGCAGACGCUUAACCACUGAGCCAUCCAGUCAAAAUAAUGAAGAAGAGGAGGAAGACAGGCCGAUGCUAGAAAUCUGAAAUCCACUCCUCCUCCUCCCCAAGUACAGGCACCAGAACCGAUGCCCAACCCACUGGCUUCCGGAGGGCUGAAAAGCCACCACAGACAAAGCCUAUUAAGCAGAAGGAGAUGAAGAAAGGGGCGGAGGCGGAGGCGGAGGCGGAGGCGGAGGCGGAGGCGGAGGCGGAGGCGGAGGCGGAGGCGGAGGCGGAGGCGGAGGCGGAGGCGGAGGCGGAGGCGGAGGCGGAGGCGGAGAAGAAAAAAAAGAAAAGGCCCUGCUACCAAAUACUGGCUGUCUCUGCAGAAGUCUGGACUCAAGGUCAACUGAUAAUGGCUGCAGCCUAUGAAGAAGCGAGGUCCUGAUUCCUUACCUGAGAAAAGGAGCCUAAGACCCCAUCCAGGUUGUACCAGCUCUCAGAGCAUGCCCACAGCCUCUUCUCCUUGUCCUCAGAUAACCUCCUGACAUCAGGGACUCAGUUUUGCCUCAUUCAGAUGUCAGGUCUCCACCCCGAAGUAAACAUGGGAAUCUAUGAGAAAUUAGAUCCCAUCCAGCAAGAGCUGAAUCCGAGUCCUCUGCUCACCCCACGACGGAAAAGAAUAUGCACAGGCCUGCAUCCCUCUUCUCCUUCUCCACCAUGUCGGAAGAAAAGAUUUUACUGGACAGAGACACAGCGAGAGAGGGAACGCAAGCAGAGGGAGUGGGAGAGGGAGAAGCGGGCUUCCCGCCGAGCAGGGAGCCCGAUGCGGGGCUCGAUUAUCGGGACCCUGGCACCCUGGCACCCUGGCACCCUGGGAUCAUGACCUGAGCCGAAGGCAGACGCUUAAUGACUGAGCCACCCAGUCGCCCCCCACUUUCCACCUUGACCGUGCCUAGUCGUCCACCCGUCUAGUCCUCUUGGCCGCGCCUGGUCUUGCCCUCGAAUGUGUUCGUCUGGAGCACAGAGCUAGAUCCAGAGAAUGAGAGAAUGAGAUCGAUGGACCCACGGACGGAAAUCAAGUUUCUCUUUCCCUGAAAUGACCUAGGACACUCCUCUUCUAGUCAGCUCCCAUCCUGCUCCCCCACCCCCAACAACCUCUCAUCGGACCUUCCCCUUUUGCCACCAGAAAGCUUUUCCACUCCUCCGCCUGGCCUGCGUUUGCUUGGCGUCUCUGCCAGACCCAGGCGGUGGUGGCCGACCGCAGACUCUCUUGCCCUCAAGAAAUGAUUCCCGCUCUCAUGUGGGUGAUCUUUUAUCUCCACAGAGGUGGCUCACAAAGCUGCACAACCUUCACUGCAAUUUCCAGAACAUUUCCAUCACCGCCAAAAGAAAUAAACACCUCUACUACCCCUCCCCCCUUCCUGUCCGCGCCUCGCCCCCACCCGCCGUCACCGUCGCCCUCGCCGUCACCGUCGCCCUCGCCCUCACCCGGGCUCUCUUCACUGUUCUCCCCCAACAGGGAGUAGAAAGGGAAGUUAGAGGGAACAUUCUUCCUCCCCUACACCUGCUGAACGCACAUGGACACACACCGCAACCCUCCCCGCCAGGCGCGCGCACCCACCCACCCCCGCCCCGCCAAGCCCCGCCCCGCCCCGCCACGCCACGCCACGCCCCCCAUCCCGGCCUUACGUGUACCUUACGUACCUCUGCACGGACUCGAGAUUUGGCAAUAGCCUUGAUUGCCCUGCAAUGUUUCCAAACCUCGGCGCUCCCCAACCUUCCCCACCCCGACCCCCGCCCC